rnacentral:misc_RNA from 1 species
UUAAAAACUAUCAACAAUUGAAAUUGUACUCAAGGAUAACCUGGCAAUAGCUAAAGUUGCAAAUCGUAAGUUUUGACAACUCCUAGGGUUCCAUAUUUUGAAACUCACUCAACAUGCUACUUAAUCAUACCAUCACUUGGAUGCCCUGACUUGAUUUUCUUUUGCAACAUAUUUAUGAACAAUGUUAUAAUGUCCUCCACCCUCAGUGAUCCACUAUCCUAUGCAUAUACAUUGUACAUAUAGAAAAAAAUAUUUAUACGCGCCUUUACUAAAAAAUAUCAAGUUAACAAAUUUACAUAAAAUCACUGAAAUAUGACAAUCAAAAUAAGCAAUCCGGUUGCCAAGAUUUUUUUGAUGGCUCAAAGUACCUAGAAAAACACAAAGAGGAGAGUAUGUUAAACAUCAUAAUUACCAUUUGUACCAACCUUCUUCAGAA